GUGUUCAAUUUGGUAGCACAAAUACUAAAACAGAAAUAAUUCAGAGAAGGUUAGUAUUGUCCUUAUACAAGGACAAAGAGUUCAUGAAGUGCACUGGUCUUCA
ensembl:snRNA U6 U6 spliceosomal RNA